rnacentral:rRNA from 1 species
CCUACGGGUGGCAGCAGUGAGGAAUAUUGGUCAAUGGACGAGAGUCUGAACCAGUCAAGUAGCGUGAAGGAUGACUGCCCUAUGGGUUGUAAACUUCUUUUAUAUGGGAAUAAAACGUUCCACGUGUGGGAUUUUGUAUGUACCAUAUGAAUAAGGAUCGGCUAACUCCGUGCCAGCAGCCGCGGUAAUACGGAGGAUCCGAGCGUUAUCCGGAUUUAUUGGGUUUAAAGGGAGCGUAGGUGGAUUGUUAAGUCAGUUGUGAAAGUUUGCGGCUCAACCGUAAAAUUGCAGUUGAAACUGGCAGUCUUGAGUACAGUAGAGGUGGGCGGAAUUCGUGGUGUAGCGGUGAAAUGCUUAGAUAUCACGAAGAACUCCGAUUGCGAAGGCAGUUCACUGGACUGCAACUGACACUGAGGCUCGAAAGUGUGGGUAUCAAACAGGAUUAGAUACCCUAGUAGUC